rnacentral:rRNA from 1 species
AACAAUUAAAAAUAGAUAAAUUUAUAUAUCCCGAAAUAGUACGAGUUAAAAAAAUUAUAAUAUUAGUUGUUACACUGACUGUAUCAUUAGUCAGAAAUUAUUAUUUUUUUUAGGGAUGAAAUAUCUUUCAAGUAUUAUGAUAUCUGGAUUUUUGGUAAAUAUAUAUAGUAUUUAAUCAAUUCAGUAAUAAUAAGGUUACUGAAUGGCAUUAUUAUAAUUAUAUAUAAUAUAAUUUGUGUAACUUCAAUUAUAUAUUUUAAAAUAGAACUAAUUCUUUGGUUAAUAUGCAAAUUACUUUAAUAUAUAUUAAAAUGUUAAAUAUAUCAUUAAUGUUGUUAUUAGUAUUAUAAUAAUUAGGUAAGAGGAACUCGGCAAUUUUUUUCUCAACUGUUUAUCAAAAACAUUGCCCUAAGUAUAUGUUUAGGGUAAAUCCUGCUCAAUGGUUUACUAAAUAGCCGCAGUACUUUGACUGUGCAAAGGUAGCAUAAUCAAUUGGCUUAUAAUUGAAGUCUAGUAUGAAUGGGUUUAUGGGGAAAAGCUAUCUUAAAUUUAUUAACAUAAUUUACUUAUUAAGUGAAAAUUCUUAAAGAUAUAAAAAAGACGAGAAGACCCUAGAAAUUUUUAACAAAUUUAAAUAGAAAUUUUUUGUUGGGGCGACAGCGUUACAAUAAAACUAGCGUUGAAAUACUAGACCUAAUUGUAUUGGUAGAAUAAAUUACUCUAGGGAUAACAGCAUAAUUUAAUAGAGUUUGUGACCUCGAUGUUGGACUAGGAAAUUGUUUUUUCAGAAGAAAAUCAUAUUUGCUCUGUUCGAGCAAUUUUACCUACAUGAUCUGAGUUCAGACCGG